rnacentral:lncRNA from 1 species
UUCCUGAGAAACUAUGGAAGACCUGAGGCUCCUCUUCAGAAAGCAAGACUUCAGUAUUGCUAAAGGAGCAAAACCAAAAGCUUGUUACACAUGGUAAGAUCUGCAGAAGCAAAAGGGAACAAGGCUAGUUGUGCAAGCAUUUUGUAAGCUUUGGGCUGCCAUCAUUCCUCUGAUAUACCAUUGGUUAAACUCUGCCAGUUGAUCCAUUUCAAAGCCAAGGUAUGUGGAAACGUACUUCAUCCAUGGAGACACCAUGAAAAGGUAAGAACAGAGGCAGGUUGAAGAAUGGAGACAUUAACUCAACUUAUUAUAACAGGUACACACCUGAUUUCUAUAUUGACCUUAUAUCUAGCAACUUAGUACAAUUCACAUUGACAAUUCUGGUAGUCUGUGAAUAGAUAUGUUUGGGAAUUUUAGUGUGCAUAAUUAUGUCAUUUGCAAAUAAUGGCAAUUUUGUUUCUUCUUUCUUAAUUUUUAAAUCUGUUAAUUUUUCCUUGCUUUAAUACCUUGCUAGUCUCACACACAAAGUUAAAAGAAAAAAUUAUAGUAACUAUCUUUGUUUCAUUCUCCUUAAGAAUAAACUCAACUGUUUCAGUGAUAAAUAUGUACUGAAUCUGUGUUUUGGUAGAUAUGAUGCAUCAAAUUAAGAAAUUAUUUUUUAUUUCUAUUUUGUUAGGGC